rnacentral:rRNA from 1 species
GGGGGGGGGGGGGGGGGGGGCGGGGAGGGGGAGGGCGAGGGGGGGGACGGGGAGGGCGGGCGCUGGGGGGUGGCGAGGGGCGGGCGGGGGAGGAAGACAUCGGAAUCGAGUGUGUCGGGGGGGAUGACGGAGGGAAACGUACGCUAAUACCGCAUACGGCCUACGGGGGAAAGCGGGGGCUCUUCGGACCUUGCGCGAUUGAAUGCGCGGAUGUCGGCUUAGCUAGUUGUCGGGGGAAAGGCCCACCCAGGCGACGAUCCGUAGCUGGGCUGAGAGGCUGAUCCGCCACACUUGAACUGAGACACGGUCCAGACUCCUACGGGAGGCCGCAGCGGGGAAUAUUGGACAAUGGGCGCAAGCCUGAUCCAGCCAUACCGCGUGGGUGAAGAAGGCCUUCGGGUUGUAAAGCCCUUUUGUUGGGAAAGAAAAGCAGCAGGUUAAUACCCCGCUGUUCUGACGGUACCCAAAGAAUAAGCACCGGCUAACUUCGUG